CGGAAGUGGCGUCCGGUGCUGGCUGUUAUCAACCCCGCGGCGGUGAGUCUGGCCCUUUGCGUUUCGCUGUGUCGGCGCCGGCUGGGUACGGCCUGUUGUCCCGCGGCGGAGGAGUGACUGAAGGGCGGUUCUGGUGGGGCGGACGGUUGGUUAGGCCCUGGUAAAGGUCCCCUGGUCGGUUGGGCCCUGGAGAGUCUCGGGGCCCGGUUGGCGGGGCCCGAGCGCUCGGUGAAGGCCCCGGUCGGCUGGGCUGUGGUGGCCUUCAGACCCACUGAGGAGCCCACCUGGUGCCCGGUGAGGGCCCCCGGUCGGUUGGGCGCUGGUGAGCCCUAGUGCCCAGUGAGGGGCCUGAUCAGUUGGAGCCUGGUGUCUGGUGAAGGCCCCUAGUUUGUUGGUCCCGGGGAGCCCCAGUGUUAGAUGAGGGGCCUGGACAAGUGCUGGUGCCUGGUAAAGGAGCCCUGUUUGUUGGGUCCUGGUGAGUUCCUGUGUGCGGUGAAGGGCCUGGUUGCUUGAGCCCUAGGGCCUGGUGAAGGCCCCUGGUCAGUUGUGCCUUGCUGAGCCCCGGUGCUCAGUGAGGAGCUUCGUUGGUUUUGCCCAAGUGCCAGGUAAAUGGCCUUGCUGGUUGGGCUCUGACGAGCUCUAGGCCCUGUGAGGAGCCUGGUUGGUCAGGCCCUGGUGCCUGGUAAAGGCUCCUGGUCAGCUGGCUCUGGUGAGCCCUUGUGCAUACUGAGGAGCUUGGUGGGUUGGGCCCCAGUGCCUGGUAAUGAUGCUGGCUGGUUGUGCCCUGACAAUCCCCAGUGCCUGCUCUAGAGCCUGGCUGGUUGAGCCUUGACAAACCCCGUGGUCUUGUGGCAGCCGUUGAGGCAGCAGCCAGCAGAGCCCCAGGGUGGUUCUCCCUGUCCAGCCCCACCAUGCCAGGCCAGGGGCCAUCAAAGGGCCAUCAAGCGUUGGUGGUGCUGGUGGCCACGCUAGGCUGGCUGCUGGCCCUGCAGUUGCUGCUUGACCUGCGGGCACUGGGGCUGCUCUGUGGUGUGCUGGUGGCACUGGGUGGCUGGCUGGGCCCCCGUGCCUUUAGCCCUCCUGGCCGGCGUCUGCGGCUGGAGCGCUUUGUCAGCUCCCUGCGGCCCCUGCCUAGCUGCCCGGUGGCUGAGGAGCGGCUGGAGAGGGAGAUCUCCAGCACUGUCCACAAAGUGGUGCGGGAUUUCGUCGCUUCCUGGUACCGCACUGUCAGCAGCGAGCCAGCCUUCGAAGCCGAGGUGGAGAAGGCUAUGACAGGCCUGGCCACUGAGCUGAGGCGGCGGAUGGGGCGAGUGGACCGCCAAGCCCUGGCUCGUCGCCUCCUCCUCCUUUCCGGCCAUCACUUGCAGAGCUACCUGCAGGCCCGUGAGGCCGUGAGAGGUGACCCUGGCGGCAGCCGGACCCUGUGGGAGGAGUACAGUCGGUUGGCAGGGCCGCAUCCUGCCCUCCGCAGCCCAGCAGCUGAGGUGGGCUAUACCCGGGCUGCUGUGGAGACGCUGCUGCGGGCACUGGUGCCCUGGCCCCACCUGGAGACACGAACAGGACGCUUUGUGGUGGUGGAGCUGGUUGCCUGUAACGUGCUGCUGCCAGCCAUCAAGAAGAUAGCCGAUCCUGACUGGAUCAAUCUGCUGCUCAUCGGGGCGUUCUCCAAGAAGCCCCGGGCUGAAGAGCCCCACCCUGCACCCCCAGUGCCUGACUUCUUGCCCUUUGUGGUGCAGACAGAUGCUGCCCCUGCUGGGCUGCCUCCUUCCCCGAGGGCCAUGGAGGUGCCCAGGCGAGAGGCAGGGCCUGCUGGUGAGGAGGGAGAGGACUCAGCGAGCGGGCUGUGCCACACAGAGGAGCCUUUCCUCUGCCCACGAGCCCUGGGCUCCCUCUUCCCCUGUGAGGGUUUGGAGCUGGAGUCCCCCAUGCAUGAUGUGGGCCAGGACACGGACCUGCUGGUACCAUCACCUGUGGGGGAGUGCCUUGAUGAACCCCUCCAGGACACCUCCACUGUGCUAGAGGGACCGUCCACUUCGGAGGAUGGUGUAGGGGACCUGGAGGAGGGUGUCGCCACCAGCUCGGAUGCUGGCCUGCUUCCCACCUCUGCUCUUACUCUGAACUCCUGCCCUGACAUUCAGAUCGACCCAGCAGUUGAGAAGGAGGAGGAAAGCCCAGCUGUUCCCAAAAAGCCUUCUUCACAGAGGCCUUCCAGCUUGGGGAAAGAUCUGGGAGCAGCAGAGGGCCCACCGCAAAGCCCCCUAGAUCCAGGCCAGACUCUGCCCCUGCUCUCGUCUUCCCCAACGGCUUCCAUCAGCACCUUCAGCUUUGAGCCACUCAGCAGCCCCGACGGGCCAGUUGUCAUCCAGAACCUGCGGAUAACUGGGACCAUCACUGCCCGAGAGCACAGCGGGACUGGCUUCCACCCCUACACCCUGUACACCGUCAAGUAUGAGACAGCCCUGGAGGGUGAGAGCGCGGGUAGCCUUCAGCAAAUGGCUUACCACACUGUGAACCGCCGUUACCGGGAGUUCCUCAACCUCCAGACCAGACUGGAGGAGAAACCGGAGCUCCGCAAGUUCCUGAAAAAUAUCAAAGGCCCAAAGAAACUGUUCCCGGAUCUCCCAUUUGGAAACAUGGACAGCGAUAAAGUGGAAGCCAGAAAAAGUCUGCUGGAAUCUUUCUUGAAGCAAUUGUGCGCAGUCCCUGAGAUUGCAAACAGUGAGGAGGUGCAGGAGUUCCUCGCUCUGAACACCGAUGCCAGGAUCGCGUUCGUCAAGAAGCCCUUUGUUGUCUCCAGGAUAGACAAGAUUGUUGUCAAUGCCAUUGUGGACACCUUGAAGACGGCAUUCCCCAGGUCGGAGCCCCAGAGCCCCACGGAGGAUCUUAGUGAGUCUGAAGUGGAUGGGAAAUCUCAGACAGAUGGGAAGAAGGCCAACAAGUCCAGGCUGAGGUUCUCGUCCAGUAAAAUUGCUCCAGUGCUGAGUGUGAGCGAAGCGCACGACAGGAUUGUGUACUCCGUCAGGGAGGGCACUGCUGUCUCUGGCACCCUGUCACUGGCUGCUAUGGAGUCCUUCAUCCAGAAGCAGGAGAAGCUGUUGGAGGCAGUCCCCAGCAAAGCUCCCGAAGGCGAGGGAGGCAGAGAAGCUAAGGAAAGCUCUGUGCAGGAGGAUAUGGACAGGCUGGGCACGUCGGAGCAGGGGGCACAUCUGGAUGCAGACUCUGACUCUGAGACAGCUUUGGCUGACCUGGCCCUGGACGUGCUUCGUCUGCUGCUGAUGGAUCACUGGAGCUGGCUGUGCACAGAGAACAUCCAGAAGGUCUUCCACCUGCUCUUUGGGACCCUCAUUCAAAGGUGGCUGGAAGUCCAAAUGGUUAACCUGACCUGCACCCAGCGUUGGGUCCAGUACCUCCAGUUGCUGCAGGAAUCCAUCUGGCCUGGAGGAGUUUUACCAGCAGUGCCCAAACCGGCCAGGACAGAGGAACAGAAGAAAGCGGCAGCAGAGCAGGCCCUGCAGAGCCUGAUGGGCAUCUUGCCUAAUGUGAUCCAAGAAAUCCUCGGAACCAGUAAAUGUCGGAUGAGCUGGAACCUGGUACUGGAGUCCCUGGGCCAGCCUGUGAUAAACAGGCACCUGGUUUUCUGCCUCUUGGACAUUCUGCUGGAGUUCUUGGUUCUGAAGGGCUCCGGCGAUGAGCUCGAGACUGCAGCUGUCGCGCCGUCUGCCUCUAGUGGCCUGGACAAAGCAGGCUUUUCAGCACAUUAACCAGGGCUGGUGUAGCCAGCAAUGGAGGAGAGAAACAGCCACAGGCAUGGGAUGAUUUGAUUUUCAGUAUUUACUGGACAUGUCUCGGAGCUUCUCGUAAAGAAUUUUUCCAGCCAGUGCUAAAUGCGGCUGCUUCCAGGCUUCUCUGUUUUGGCUGGGUGAUGGAUUAAACCCAGUGUCAGGGGCUGAAGAUGCUUUUCUGCCAUGCAGCAUCUGUUCCACUGCAGACCUGAUGGAGAGCCUGGAAUGAAGAUGCCUGACCUCUGCUGAGCCAGACAGCCUGAGAGGGAUAGCAGGCUGCCCACAAACCCGCUUGUCUUGCCCCACGUUUCUGAACAUCUCUAACAUCUAAAGGCAGACAGCGCACAAGAUUUGCCUUUGUGGGCUCAGGCUCCAGCUGGCACUGGCACACAGAGACUUGAUGUCACAGUAUCUUGCUGACAGACAUCUCUCCAGGACAGGUGAAGGGAGGACCAAAUGCUGUCCCUGCUCUCGAAGCAGCCUGCCCUGUGCCUACGCCGCCCCAUCCAUUUUACUGGAAGGAAGAUGGGGAAAGAAUGGAGCAUGGAGAUGUGGUGGCAGCCCUGAAAUCAGCAGCAGGGACCCAUCCCCACUGCCCAAACAACUGGGAGGUCAAAAACAAUGCAGAAAUCCUUAGGGACCAAGCUGUUAGUCCUUAGGGACAAAGAUAAGCUGACUGCCACUGCUCAGACUCUUGUUCUGGCAUCUCCUGCUGCCUGAACAGUGGGAGGCAAGUAGGGUAGACUGUGUUCCUGGAAAAGAGAACUGUCACCAGGCUAAAGAGGAAUGGUAGCUGAGCUGGCCUUUAGGAUUACCUUGUACUUUGCCUGCUGAGUCACAUCUUAGUCCCAGAGGCUGUCACCUGGAAGGCACAGGAGAAAAGGCACUGGAGCGUGAUGCACAGCAAGUAAAUCAGCUCCCGCGCGAGAGUGCUUGUCACAGUAAGACUCCUCUGGAAGAGGAGUGAGCAUCUCUGAGCCCGGGAGGAAUACCAGACGCGUGUCAUGGGCAGCCAAUGUGUUAGACCACAACAACAGGCUUGCGAGCACCACCGUAGCUCUGUUGAUGAUUGCUAUUUCACCGUGCUUUGGUUUACUAUGCCUGCUAUGAGAACAGCUGUGUGCAGAGGGCUCUAGAAAGCUUGUCAGGUCACGAUGUCCUGUGCCACCCAGCACAGAAUGGCAUGUCAAUUUGGCAGCUGCUUUUCCGGGUCAUCCAAGACUUGAGUGGUUUUGCAGGCUUGUGCUGCCCAGCUGUCAGGUUUGUGACAGGGAAAAUGGACACAGAGACUAUGGACACGGAGAAUAUGCACCAACAGACCAGUUCAGUGACCUUUUUGGUGUAUAUCCUGGGAGAAAUAUGAACUGACCGGUGCUGGACUCUGCUGAUCAAGGGGACACCGCUCCUGGUGUUGUCUACGGAUUCAAGUGCUUAGAAGAGGAAACCUCACGAGGGAGGCGUGCAGGAUCACAGCUGGCUUCCGUAUUACGGGACCAAAGGGUGCAUUUCAUACAGCCUGCUGUUUCUUGGAGCUGGAUGCUCUGUGGCAUGUUUGGAGGGAAGGUGUUGGAACUCCAACAUAUGUACCACUGGGAGCGUAUUCUGCCCUUUCCAGAGGCAGCUGCUUAAUAAUGGACACAUGGCUUUCCAGGGAGUGUGAAACCAGAGAAGCCAUGUGGAGAUCUUUGGCCUUUCUCCUGGAAGAAAGUGAAAGACACCCUGAGAAGCAGGGGCUGUGCAGACCCAUCUCCACAUCCCUUGGGCACUGCUGCUUAGGAAGUUCUCCUCGAUACUGGUCCUGGAGGAGGAAAGCUGGUAAGCUGUAAGGAAAUAGAGAAUGUCUGAAAAUGAGAAAUUCCACGUGAAAUUUGAAAUAUUAUGUCACAGAAAAAAAAAAUAGAGGGAGGGAAGAAAAACCUGAUACAAUGAAUGCUUGAGUCAUGUAUUAUUCUGGAUUAGCUCUGCCACGGAAAGAUCCCGUACACCCUAUGAAAUCCAUUACCUACAAGCCAGUGAACAUUUGUAGAGCACAUGAUGUGGGGAUCAGAGCUGAAGCCAAGUUCCCCUGUAUAAUAUCCACCCCAGGGUAGGUUGGUCCACUUCCAGUGUCAACAGCCAGAGGAUUAAGCAUUUAUCUCUGCAGAACAGUGGAUAAUUAAUACCAGAUCGAACUAGGGACUAAGCUCAUGAGAGCUUGCUUGUGACUAGAUUUGUGACCGAGUGUGGCUUUAUUGCCCGCGGGCGAGUUGUGGGGAGUGGGUUGAGGUUUUCUCUGUAGCACACGGGGCGGACACUGCCUCUGUGAUAUGUGCCUUGUAGCAGAGCAUCAGGAGCUGCAGGGCUUUGAGCUGGGACGACAUUGGGCUUUCCAGUCAUGGCCACAGGCAUUAGGGGUGUAAACCCAUCAGCAGACCUUUCCUUCCAGCCGAACGCUGGAAGAAUGGAAUCAGGAUGCCGUGAUCUGCCAUCUUCUGGAUUUAAAUGUAAAAUCCAGGUUUUGGCAAUUCUGGCUUUCUUGAAAUAAAUUAAUACCAUUAUCCUGGCCGCAGUCCAGUUCAGGUAAUUAUAUUCUUCCUACCUUAAUGCCACUCCAGCCCCCUGUCUCCACUGGAUAUGCUAUAUUCUAAUUCCUGUCUGGAACUUGCUUAUGUUACAAAGUCUUUGUAUUUUUUUCCCCCCUCUGAGUACAACUGGUGCACAGAGCGUUAGCCGGCCCCCAGCGCUAUGCUGAGCUGCUAAAAUAGUCGAGAGAACCUGCCUUAGACGUUUGAUUUUUGCCUGGUGAUGUCCUGGAGCAUCUUUCCUGACUUGUAAGCCUGCUGAGUUGGGAAAGUGGAUAACAUAAAAGAUCAGAGCAAGAGCUGCGGUCCUGUUUAACCCACUGGACUGUUAGAAACGCGCUUCUCUCUUCUCCGAAUGCCUUAGGCUGGCCAGCGUGUUAAUGGGAGGAAGCCCAGGCCUCCUGGCUGGUUGUCUUACCUUCCUGUGUUGCCAUUUCUUCAAAGAUUUUUGAAGGCUGAAGUAUGUCCUUACUUCCAGGCGAGGGAGGAGUCCUCUUGUCUUCGAGGAGAAUAUUGAGUGUGUCCUAAUGUAAAUAUGUCCCAAUGUCCCUGAUUAAUCUAGUGGAGCGGCCCUGCCUUGAUUUGAGGUUACCAUCCAGCCCUAAAAACCCUGUUUCCUGCAGUGCUAAUGCUUAAAGCUGGCUUCGAGUACCCGCUUUCCCUUUUGGAGCUUUCCCUUUCUUGUCCACGUUGGUGGCUCGCUGGCCUUUACGUCUCCUGCGAUUGAUGCAUUGGUUUAGUUGGUUGGUUUUUUGGUUUUUUUGUUGUUUUUUUUUUUUUUUUUACCUUUUGAAAAGUAUUUAAAGUCGCCUUCUUUCCUUACCCUUUCAAUUACGCUCUCUUCAUCUCCUGGCCUCGCUGCGCGGCUGAAAAGGCUGCUUGAGGAGAGGUACUUGAGGAGAGCGUCCCGUAAUUCCGCGUACUUCCUUCCUGUUCCCAGGCCCCUUCGCUCUUCCACGGCCCUCGAGGACAAGGAGAGUUUGAGGGACGUGCUAGAGGAGGGGACAGCGGGGGUGAGGAUCAAAGACCAUAAACCACUGUUUAAAAAAAAUAUAAUGCCCACUGCUUCUCUCGAGUGUCACAUCUGGCAGAGCCUCAUUAACCUUCUGUUUCCCCCUCCUACUCCUUUGCCCCUGAAAAUCAACAAAGCCAAACAUAACAAGUUGCCCUGACUGAAGAAGGCUGAAGUGUGUGUGCUUAGUGUGAAAAAGCAAAAGCAAAGCCAUUGGCUAAAGCCCCUUUUUCCAUGCAGGCCACUUCACAUUUAUUACACGGGAAAGACGGAGCUCUUUAAAUCCCGAUGCUCUUUAUAGUUGAGCUCUUUAACUUUCUCCCUUCCUCCCCUUGCAGGCUUCAUUCUCCCCUUGUUCCGCUCCUUCCGCUCUGCUCCUUUCUUUUUUGUCCUGUGAGAACGAGUCUUUUAAUCCCCUUGUACUGCAGAUUAAAGCUAUUAUAGCCUCCCCAACCUGACGUUUUCUCAGAGAGGCUCACAGCCAGAUCUUUAUGAGUGCUCUCUGUCUGUCUGCUGCUGCCUUUCUUCUCGCCACACUAAACCUCCGUUCCUGACCUUUCCCUGAAGAGGGAAGGGCUGUGGCGAGCAAUCCCAUGUCGGCAGAGGCUGGUCUCAGCGGGGCUCGGGGUGCAGGAAAUUAAGACCCAUGGAAAUUAACAAGUAAAUAAGGGGAGAAAGAAAAGACGAUGUGGGAAUUAAGAGACGGAACCCGAGCAAAAUUCAGCCUGCUUGGAAACCAAAUGCAGGGUUUGGGGCUGAGUUUUGCAAACGGUCCUGUCUUUACGAGGAGCCAAACCGUAAACUCGGGACUCAUUUUUAGUAGCAGAUCAGGGUUACCUGAAACCUAAGCUACAGUCCAACUCCCCGCUUCGUAUUUGACCCAAAAAAUAAUGGAUCCAGGCACCUGUAGUACACAGGUAGACAUUGACUUUGUGAGCUUUCAGGGACAGGGGGGACUGCUCGUACUAUGGGACUGAGUCCACGACAGCGGACUUCUCAGUAUUUGUCAUCAAAUGACGGUACCUCACCUCUGAGAUUGCAGGGCGGACCGAUGUGCUGGUCCUUGUCUUGUACACAUCAUAAAAGCGCAAAGGACGGGGGUAGCUUGCCUAAAAGCGCGUGCACUAAUGGCAGAAACAUCUUGCCUACAGAGUUUUCUGGCUCUCGUCACCAGUUCUGCCACUGUGAGGUGUCCUGCAAAUGUCCCAGAGUUCUUGGCGAGGCACCAAGGAAGGUGAAAAGCCCCAAGAUGAAUUCCCCAGAGGAAUGGUGUAAAAUUACCCCAUUCAGGCCCCAUUUCAGGUUCGUGUACAACAUACGAGGAUGCGUUGGUGAAUAGGAGGGGUGUCUGUCGCUGACACGCUCUUUGAGCAGGGAGGAGGUAGUUUGGUUUCUUCUUCUUUUGGACCUCCAGCGUGAACCUGGCCGGGUUGUUCUGAGCCAGUGUUUCACCCAACUGCAAAGCUCUGGGUGCUGUGUGAACCCCGUCAGCUUGAAGUGAAGAAAAUCAUGCAAUACCUACGCCGAGCGAGUACAAAAGGUCAAGUUUGGGUCCUGCCAGGCUUUACUUGCAUCCAUUUAUACGUGGGUUAUGUUUUACCUCCCUUGUAAAAGGACAAACAGAGAAUUUGCUUAUCUUUAUAAGCACCUUGAGAGCACGCUGUGGGCUUGGGAGACAUUUGAAGGGUUGAUUAAACGCCUCCAGGUUUUUCUAAAAUAGGUGGUGACCGCAUAUAAGAAGAUUUCCCGUACUUCAGGGCAGCAGCAGCAGCGCUGCGAUGACAAGCCAACUCAUGGCACUUGUGCUCUCCUAUCGCAUGCCCGAGCCAACGCGGAGGCUUCUGGGGACAGCGGCGGAAUUGCUUGCAAAGCAAAUAAUAGAAGUGCAACUGUCCCCUUUUGGGAACUCACUUCGGGGCAAAAGUUCCCCUGGCAGCCCAGCUUUUGCCCAUAAUGAAAUUGAAACAGGAGCUCGCCCCCAGAGGGGCCGUACGUGUGAAACUCUGCCAUGUCGAAUCCGUAUGAAUCCUCCGCAAGGAAAGCCCCAGCCCUGUAAUUACUGGCUUUCCAGCAAGCAGCCUUUUCUUUCUCUUUGUGUGGGCCCGGUGCCCCCCUUCCUCCCCCUCCGUGCGCGCAUGAUAAGAGGAUAUUUCUAAUGAAAAUCACUGGGCAGAAGCGGAGAACAAAAGCGGGGGCACAGCGCGCUCGCUGGUGGGGAUAUUAGAGGCGCUGGGCUCCCACCUCCGUCCGGUCUGCUCUCCGCUGGGAGAGCGCGGUGGGCACGGCGGGCUGGGGAGGCUCUUAUUAACCUUAAUCUGCAGAAAAGGAGCUGAAACCAGGCCGCGGCCUGGUUUCAUAGCUACAGCGGCUCGCUCCCAAGCGUGCAGCCUUAUGAAGGGGCAGUCUCCCCAGCAACUCUAAUGCGUUUUUGCACCGGUGCCGUCUAAUCUGAGGUAGAAAUGUCACCGCCGUCAGACCCCAGGCUGGCAGCUCCCAGCCACGGCCGCGCUGGUAAGCACAUAUCCAGCUUCAACCUUCUGGUUGCUGGGGUGAAAGGGCCUCUUUAUCUCCGCGGGGAGAGGCAGAUGAAUCCCAGGCUCAAACAAGGGACCUGCUUUUCUGGGGGGUUUCCCCCCCCGACCCCCCCCCCUCCAGUUCAAGGCCUCUUUAUUAUGUCUUUUAAUUCUCAGCUGAGAGUGGGAGGGAGCAAUAAGGCUGGAGAAAUGAUGGUAGAGGGGGGAAGAAAGGCCCCAGCCACCGGUGUGUGAAAAGGGAACGCAGCGCAGGGAUUAAAAAUGUCAGCUUCAUGGGAAGUACUUGAUAUUUAAUAGCUUCACUCGAUUGCCGCAAGGCAGCGGUGACAUGCACAACGCUGUAAGGGCAGCUGUGAGCCACGUCCCCGGGAGAAUCGGUGCCAUUUCUGGGAACCUCGGGCCCUAUCGCGAUAUGGGGUGGGGAGGAAGAGCCACGUGCGGCUGAGCUUGUAUUGCUUAAGAUGAAGCUGUCGGGUUGGUGGCUCAUCCUUUCUGUGGCCGGCUGGCACAGGGUCCAUGCUUGCCACAGAACGAACCGAGCUGAGAUUUCUUCCCCCUGACAGCUCGUGCCCUCCGUCUGAUGGCUGACAGCGCUUGUGACUCGUUUAUUGCGAAAACGCUCUUGGAUGGUCUGUCCGCAACAUAUUCUCUAGUUUGCUCAUCUCUGCAGCUGCUGGCGGAACUGUGGCCUUUUAAAGCAUUAGCACUCCGUAAUCUCCUCUUCUCGACAGAUGCUCUGAUGCUAUCUGCCGCCUGUACAGUCGAGGCCACUGGAGGAGUUCGUUUGUGUGACGGGAGCAUGCUCCUGUGCCGCUUGCCUCCCGUGCCCCUCUGGACGUGGCCCUGGGAGAGGAAGCUGCUCCUCUAGAAGAAGGGCUGUUGGAACAAGUCAAUAACUCUGAAGGGAUGGAGAUUGCUUCUUGUUGCUCAUUUUUGUGACAAAAGGAUGAAGACAAAGUGACCAGAGCUUUCCCAGCAUGACUGACUGGUAAAGAGCCCUCCCAGCGCCGUACUUCAUCACUAUCUCAAAAGGCGAUGUGCUUUUAUUGAACCGAGCCUGCUGUGGGCUCUGUACACUCCAUCA